rnacentral:rRNA from 1 species
ACAGCAGUAGCCACGGUAAUACAGAGGAUGCAAGCGUUAUCCGGAAUGAUUGGGCGUAAAGCGUCUGUAGGUGGCUUUUCAAGUCCGCCGUCAAAUCCCAGGGCUCAACCCUGGACAGGCGGUGGAAACUACCAAGCUGGAGUACGGUAGGGGCAGAGGGAAUUUCCGGUGGAGCGGCGAAAUGCGUUGAGAUCGGAAAGAACACCAACGGCGAAAGCACUCUACUGGGCCGACACUGACACUGAGAGACGAAAGCUAGGGGAGCAAAUGGGAUUAGAUACCCCAGUAGUCCCUGUCUCUUAUAC